UACGUAGGUGGCAAGCGUUGUCCGGAAUUAUUGGGCGUAAAGGGUGCGUAGGCGGCUCUUUAAGUGGGAUGUGAAAUCCCUAGGCUCAACCUAGGAACUGCAUUCCAAACUGGAGAGCUAGAGUGCAGGAGAGGAAAGCGGAAUUCCCAGUGUAGCGGUGAAAUGCGUAGAGAUUGGGAGGAACACCAGUGGCGAAGGCGGCUUUCUGGACUGUAACUGACGCUGAGGCACGAAAGCGUGGGGAGCAAACAGG
rnacentral:rRNA from 1 species